rnacentral:rRNA from 1 species
AGCGAACGCUGGCGGUAGGCUUAACACAUGCAAGUCGAACGGCAGCACAGCAAGGGCUUGCCUCUACGGGUGGAGAGUGGAGGAAGAGUGAGGUAUACAUCGCUAUCUACUUUUUCGUGGGGGAUAACGUAGGGAAACUUACGCUAAUACCGCAUACGACCUACGGGUGAAAGCAGGAGCUCUUCGGACCUUGCGCGAUUGCAUGAGCCGUUGUCGGUUUAGUUAGUUGGCGGGUUACAGGCCCACCAAGGCGGCGCUCCGUAGCUGGUCUGAGAGGAUGAACAGCCACACUGGAGCUGAGACACGGUCCAGACUCCGACAGGCGGCAGAGGUGGGGAAUGGAGGACGAUGGGGGGAAUCUUGAACCAGCCAUACCGCGUGGGUGAAGAAGGCCUUCGGGUUGUAAAGCCCUUUUGUUGGUGAAAAAAAGCUUCAGGAGGAGAGCCCGCUGUUCUGACGGUACCCAAAGAAGAAGCACCGGCUAACUUCGUG